rnacentral:rRNA from 1 species
UACGGAGGGUGCGAGCGUUGUUCGGAAUUACUGGGCGUAAAGCGCGUGUAGGCGGCCUUCUAAGUCUGGUGUGAAAGCCCGGGGCUCAACCCCGGAAGUGCAUUGGAUACUGGGAGGCUGGAGUACCGGAGAGGAGGGUGGAAUUCCUGGUGUAGCGGUGAAAUGCGUAGAUAUGUGGAGGAACACCGAUGGCGAAGGCAGCCUCCUGGGCCAGCACUGACGCUCAUGCACGAAAGCGUGGGGAGCAAACAGG